GCCGCGGUAAUUCCAGCUCCAAUAGCGUAUAUUAACGUUGUUGCAGUUAAAAAGCUCGUAGUUGAAGUGAGGGAGUGUGUGGGUAUGAGAGCUAGUCUCAAGUGUUCACAACCUCCCCCCUCCAAUCGGUGUAGUGGGGUAUUCAGUUAUUCUACUACUCCUUUGGUCGUUUACUGCGAGAAAAUUAGAGUGUUCAAAGCGGGCGUUUGUUUGAAUAGAUUAGCAUGGAAUAAUGAUUGAAGGCUUUCGUGUUCGAUUUGAUUGGUUUGUUCAUGGAAGCAAGGUUAAAAGGAACAGUUGGGGGUAUUCAUAUUCACUAGUUAGAGGUGAAAUUCUCGGAUUUAUGGAAGAUGAACAGGUGCGAAAGCAUUUACCAAGGAUGUUGUCAUUAAUCAAGAACGAAAG
rnacentral:rRNA from 1 species